rnacentral:rRNA from 1 species
CUACGGGCGGCAGCAGUGGGGAAUUUUGGACAAUGGGGGCAACCCUGAUCCAGCCAUUCCGCGUGUGCGAUGAAGGCCUUCGGGUUGUAAAGCACUUUUGGCAGGAAAGAAAUCGCACGGAUUAAUACUCUGUGUGGAUGACGGUACCUGCAGAAUAAGCACCGGCUAACUACGUGCCAGCAGCCGCGGUAAUACGUAGGGUGCAAGCGUUAAUCGGAAUUACUGGGCGUAAAGCGUGCGCAGGCGGUUCGGAAAGAAAGGUGUGAAAUCCCAGGGCUUAACCUUGGAACUGCACUUUUAACUACCGAGCUAGAGUAUGUCAGAGGGGGGUGGAAUUCCGCGUGUAGCAGUGAAAUGCGUAGAUAUGCGGAGGAACACCGAUGGCGAAGGCAGCCCCCUGGGAUAAUACUGACGCUCAUGCACGAAAGCGUGGGGAGCAAACAGGAUUAGAUACCCGAGUAGUC